rnacentral:misc_RNA from 1 species
UCUUCUGGGCUCCUACAAGG